rnacentral:rRNA from 1 species
GAUGAACGCUGGCGGCGUGCCUAAUACAUGCAAGUCGAGCGAACAGACGAGGAGCUUGCUCCUCUGACGUUAUCGGCGGACGGGUGCUUAACACGUGGAUAACCUAACUCUAAGACUGGGAUAACUUCGGGAAACCGGGGCUAAUACCGGAUAAUAUAUUGCACCUCAUUGUUCAAUAGUUAAAGACGGUAUUGCUUUCACUAAUAGAUUGAUCCGCGCCGCAUUAGCUAGUUGGUAAGGUAGCUGCUUACCAAGGCGACGAUGGUUAGCCGACCUGAAAGGGACAUCCGACAGCCUGGAUGAGAGAAUCGGUACACACUCUUACGGGGGGACACAGUACAGACUCCUACGCGAUGCAGCAGUGCGGAAUGGAGCACAGUCGCGUGAGUCAUGAUGGACUUAUGCUCGUAAAACUAUGAAAUUAGGGAAGAUCAAAUGUGUAAGUACCUAUGAUCAUCUUGACGGUACCUAAUCAGAAAGCUACGGCUAACUCCGUG